rnacentral:misc_RNA from 1 species
CAGGAGCUACACCAGUUUGAUAACAGUGUUUCAGAACUGUUCAUGACUGAAUAUGGUACCAGUCACAAUCUUAUUAACAUCCACACAUAUGAAAAAUGUAUAAAUAGCAAACAACUGAUGUAAAAGUCCAACAUUCAAUGCUAAUUCAACCAAAUCUUGACAUUUUGAUAUGGAAAAAUAACAGUGCAUAUCCUUCUUUUCUUCUCCCUCCAUCAAUAAUAAUUUAGAACACAAAGUAAUAUCACAAAAAAAUUGUGCAACAAAAAAAAGAACCAGGGACAGAAUUACCUUCUGAACUUCUUGAAUACGUUGUUUUGCUCU